rnacentral:rRNA from 1 species
UACGAAGGGGGCUAGCGUUGUUCGGAUUUACUGGGCGUAAAGCGCACGUAGGCGGAUCGUUAAGUCGGGGGUGAAAUCCUGGAGCUCAACUCCAGAACUGCCUUCGAUACUGGCGACCUCGAGUCCGGAAGAGGUGAGUGGAACUCCUAGUGUAGAGGUGGAAUUCGUAGAUAUUAGGAAGAACACCAGUGGCGAAGGCGGCUCACUGGUCCGGUACUGACGCUGAGGUGCGAAAGCUAGGGGAGCGAACAGG